rnacentral:rRNA from 1 species
GCAAGUCGAACGCGCAGCGAGAGGUGCUUGCACCUUUCAAGUGAGUGGCGAACGGGUGAGUAACACGUGGACAACCUGCCUCAAGGCUGGGGAUAACAUUUGGAAACAGAUGCUACUACCGAAUAAAACUUAGUCUCGCAUGAUAUCAAGUUAAAAGGCGCUACGGCGUCACCUAGAGAUGGAUCCGCGGUGCAUUAGUUAGUUGGUGGGGUAAAGGCUUACCAAGACGAUGAUGCAUACCCGAGUUGAGAGACUGAUCGGCCACAUUGGGACUGACACCCGGCCCAAACUCCUACGGGAGGCUGCAGUAGGGAAUCUUCCACAAUGGGCGCAAGCCUGAUGGACCACCGCCGCGUGUGUGAUGAAGGCUUUCGGGUCGUAAAGCACUGUUGUAUGGGAAGAAAUGCUAAAAUAAGGAAUGAUUUUAGUUUGACGGCACCAUACCAGAAAGGGACGGCUAAAUACGUGCCAGCAGCCGCGGUAAUACGUAUGUCCCGAGCGUUAUCCGGAUUUAUUGGGCGUAAAGCGAGCGCAGACGGUUGAUUAAGUCUGAUGUGAAAGCCCGGAGCUCAACUCCGGAAUGGCAUUGGAAACUGGUUAACUUGAGUGUUGUAGAGGUAAGUGGAACUCCAUGUGUAGCGGUGGAAUGCGUAGAUAUAUGGAAGAACACCAGUGGCGAAAGCGGCUUACUGGACAACAACUGACGUUGAGGCUCGAAAAGUGUGGGUAGCAAACAGGAUUAGAUACCCUGGUAGUCCACACCGUAAACGAUGAAUACUAGGUGUUAGGAGGUUUCCGCCUCUUAGUGCCGAAGCUAACGCAUUAAGUAUUCCGCCUGGGGAGUACGACCGCAAGGUUGAAACUCAAAGGAAUUGACGGGGACCCGCACAAGCGGUGGAGCAUGUGGUUUAAUUCGAAGCAACGCGAAGAACCUUACCAGGUCUUGACAUCCUUUGAAGCUUUUAGAGAUAGAAGUGUUCUCUUCGG